AUGCGAUUUAAGGAACUAAUGCCUGUGGGGAAGGUUUGUAGGAAUCUUUUGAGCUGCAGUGCAUCAGAAUUCAGUUUUAUAAGGCUGUUCUCUAAUUCCCAUUAUCUCUCUUCUAUCCCAACAAAUCUCAGGACAUUAGAUUCAUUUUCAUUUUAUUUUGCUCUUGUACUGCUGGGGUCUGUGAGCCAUAUCCAGGUUAGUCUUAACUGAAGCAAUGCUCCUAUGCCAACAUCAAGAAGUCCUGAUUUCCCUAGCUUUAGUAAUGUAAAUGCUGAAGGGUCUGAUCUUUCCAGAUCACUAAUAGUCAUCGAUGCUUCAGGCAUAGAUUUUUCUUACGCACUUAAGAUAUAUACCUAAUUACUGGCUUUGUGUCCUUGUUUUCAAGUUCUAGUCAGAUGAGUGUCUCCUACAGGUGAUUCAGAAUCAAAAUGAGUCAGCAUUCCCCUUGCCCAAAGUGCCCCUUGUCCAUCAAUUUAAACAAUGUAUGGAGGGGUUUCUUCACGUUCAUAUAGGAGCUAAAGCCUAGAACAGACCAAAACAUAAAAAGCUUUAAAACAGGACCAGUGAAUCCCACCAAUGUGAUGUGACAAUGAAGAAGUUGGUUACUGCCUCUUUAGGGGACCUGAUAGGACUAAUCACUGAUUCUUGUAUUUAACAUUCUAAUUUUUAUUUUAUUUUCUUUUUGAACAUCUUCAAAUAAUACUCUGUCUAGGUCUGUGUUCCAUCCGCAUGAUUUCUCUGAUUCUCUUAAUUAAGUAACAGUCCAUUCUUUUCUAGCCACUAAGGAUGAGGCAGUUCCCUACAUUGCUAAUCUGAUUUUCUUGUGCUAUAACAGCUAUUUGUAGUCAUUCAGCAAUUUUCUACUUUUUAUAUCAGUGUUUUUAUUGAAAAAUAUUUCUAGUGUCUCUUUUUAUCUUUCAAAAAAAUAAACCUGAAUGUUGGUGAUUGUGCUUCAUGGAACUGUCUGGCUUUGGUGUCUUAGAAAACUCAAGAAACUUGAGGAACUGUACUAUUCCUAUGGUGUUUCAAGAACCACCACAAGUGCAGUUACAGAAUGUCACGUUAUAGUUGACUAUUACUGCUGUCCUUGUUGCCAGAGCAGAACCACACCUAGUUUAGCUUCCUUGUAAUGGCUUCCACGCUCAAAAGUCCUCACAAAAAGUCCAGUUCCAGGGUGAGCAUCUAAAUACCCUCUUGGUUUCUUUGCUAACUGAUAGUCUGGAAGGUCUUUAAUUGUGCUGGAACCUAGCAGCCCCACUGGAAAGCUGAUUGCUUUACAGUUCUGGUGAAUGAAGUCCAGAAGCUGUGAGUAAGGAUGUUACUUUGAAGAGCCAGAAAACUCUUCAGAAAUGCUCCAAAUUUGUGAAUGCUGAGAAGAAAAAAGUUACUAACUUUAUUUUCCCAACUCACUCAAAUAUGGGCAUACUCGUCUUGACUUUCCCCACUUUACCAGACUAACCAUAACCAUCCCUUUUUACUUUAGAGAGUCUUGCUACUCGGAGAAGUCUGAAAUAAAAUUCUUUAAUCAACUUUAAUCAAGCUGAUCAAAAUUCUUUAAUCAACUAGCCAGCAAUUUGAAGCCACAUUUGUCACUAAACCCACUGUUAAGAGCUGAAAAUUUCCAAUCUUUGGGAUUCAUUUUGGUAAUUCUGUGUAUGGUCAUGUUUUCUUUGGGUUAGUCAGUGAAAUUUUGCAGAAACAAUUGCUUACAAAGGCGAAUUUUGACUUCUCAGCCACCAGGGGAGAUUACUUAUUUGCGGUGACAUAACUAAGGGCUUCUCUUCACAUACAGCGCUACAGCAGCAGAGCUGUACCAGUACAGCUGCGCUGCUGUAGCGCUUUAGUGAAGAAGAUAUUCACCAAUGGGAGAGCUUCUUCUGUCAGCAUAGUUAAUCCACCUCCUUGAGAAGUGGUAGCUAUGUCGAUGCGAGAAGAUGUCUUGUUGAUAUAGCGCUGUCGAUUUUCCACACCCCUGAGUGACUUCUACUGAUACAAGUCUGUAGUGUUGACCUCGCCUAAGUUCUAAUGAAUAAAAACAGAACAUAAGAAUGGCCAUAUUGGGCCAGACUAGUGGUCCAUCUAUCCCAGGGUCCUGUCUUUCGACAGUGGCCAAUGCCAGGUUCUUCAGAGGGAACAGAACAGACAGUCGUUGAGUGAUCCAUCCCCUGUUGUCCACUCCCAGCUUUGGGCAGUCAGAGGCUAGGGACAACCAGAGUAUGGGGUUGCAUCCCUGACCAUCUUGGCUAAUAGCUCCAUGAACAGAUCUAAUCUUUUUUUAAACCCCGUUAUAGUUUUGACCUUCACAACAUCCCCUGGCAACAAGUUCCACAGGCUGAUUAUGCAUUGUGUGAAGAAGUACUUCCUUUUGUUUGUUUUAAAUCUGCUGCCUAUUAACUUCAUUGGGUGACUCCAGUUCUUGUGUUAUAUGAAGAAGUAAAGAACACUUCUUCAUUCACUUUUUACACACCAUUUGUGAUUUUAUAGACAUCUAUCAGAUCUCCCCUCUUAGUCAUCUCUUUUCCAAGGUGAAAAGUCCCAGUCUUAUUAAUCUCUCCUUAUAAGGAAUCUGUUCCAUACCCUUAAUAAUUUUUGUUGCCUUACUCUGUACCUUUUCCAAUUCUAAUAUAUCAUUUUUGAGAUGGGGAGACCAGAACUGUACACAGUAUUCAAGGUGUGGCCGUAUCAUGGGAUUAUAUAGUGGCGUUAUGAUAUUAUCUCUUAUUAUCUAUCCAUUUCCUAAUUGAUUACCUUUUUGUUAGUAACUAAGUCACAGUAACUACUUUUGUUUUCACUGGGUGAGGGAGAUGGCAUGCUAUAAGUGUGAGAAGUUGUCUAACUCGCGAUGAAACGUGCACACAGCAUGGCAAAAACUAGCUAUUCCAACCUAGAAAAUAGUCAAGGAUCAAGCUAUACAUUAUAAACCAGUUUGUACUAAUAGGAAAUAGCAAAAAUAUAAGACAUCUCAGAAAAAGAGAUUGAUAUUGAUAAGACUGAUAGUGACCUCAUUUUGUAUGUGUUUGAAAACGGCAAAAAAGUAGUAAUUAUAUCUGGGUAAACCUGAGAUGGAAAGGACAACUGUUCAGAAUGGUUCUUGAUACUGGCUUCAUAAUCUUAGUAAUUUUACUAGAAAAUUCAAAGAGAAACAAUAGCUGAGAGCAAAAAUAUGUACAGGGGAAAGUCAUUCCAGAGAUUAUGACUGUAAAUGUGCAUAAAAUGCAACAACAAUUAUUAUAAUUCCAAUCCCACCUUGCUUGGCAGAGCAUUACUCAAGAAGAUUCAUAUUGACUGACAGGAGAUGGCUUUAUUGGCUGAGACACCAAUAACAACUACUGCUAUACUGGUUGUACUGUCUUUGAAACAUUCAGCAUUGUUGAAAAGACCUAUUACAGUCUAUAAAAAUGAUUAAGAUCUGAUUAAUCAUUAGUACCACUACCAACCUAGAUUCUGUAAGGCAUGACCUAUUCCAUUACAUUGGGUCAGAGAGUAGAUACAAACUUAGAAAGGCUAGUUAGAACAGGAUUUCCUAUAGAAUUCAGUGACUUGGUCAAGCCAGUUUUACCUAUUAUUGAAAAAGAUGGGAAGGUAAAAAUCUAUAGAGACUUUAAAAUCAGGGUCAAUCCCUCUCAAUGUGUCUCAGUAUUCUUUACUAUAGACCAGUGGUUCCCAAACUGGGGUUCGUGAUAUUGUUACAGGGGCUUCUCGGGGGGAAAAAUCCCUAAUGGCGGACAGAGCUGUCCCUAUGGACCCAGGUAGCACGGGGCCAGCAGCCCAGAGCCUGUGGACUUCCAAGGGCUAAGCAGAUCAAAGCAAGCAUAUCUAUCACAGAGAGGAGAUUUAAACUUCAAGACUCCUUAUAAGAAAUAGAAAGGGAGGUGGAUAUUUUUGGCUGUUUUUUUAAUUUAAAUAGGCAGCUAGUAUUGUUUUUAAAAUGAUUAUGAAGAACAAGUUUAAGCUUUGUUGUAACGUGCGUUGUUUGCCUGGACUGCUCAAGACCUGAAUACUUGUGUAGGAGGAACUCUUUGAGUUGGCUUUUUAAAUACCUUCAUGCUGUUUCACAUCUGAUACUCCUUGAUGAAACAUAGGAGCAUUGUCUUUAUAACAGGCUUAUUCAAAGUGAUACAAGCUACGAAAGUGAGAUCUUGGAAGAGUGUUUCCAUUUUCAUAAUGUAAUAAAAAUACUGUAAUGAUAAAUAAUUAAUAAUAAAUAGUGUGUAAUAAGCAUGUCAUAAAAACAAAUUUUAUAUUUCCAAGAUCACUGCUUUUAUAAUUUAUACUCGGGUAAAGGAGAAAAUCCCUGGAAAUAUUCAUUUUUAGGAGGGGGUUCGCAAAACUUGACAUUUUAGUGAAGGGGGUUCACAGGUUGUUAAAGUUUGGGAACCACUGCUAUAGACUGAAGACUUGUUUACCACCUGUCCAGCAAAUAAACAUUUCAAUGAAAUAGAUUUGGCACAAAUACAUUUUUACAUGCUGAUGCAAGAUUAAUCAAAGCAGAUCCUGACAAUAAAUGCACCGAAAAGUCUGUUCCUUAUAAUUGUUUAUCAUUCGGUAUGGUAUCUGCUCCUACUACAGAUCAAAGGAUAGUAAAGCAAAUUUUAUGAUGUCUGCCAGGAAUAGAAUGCUGUCUUGACAAUAUCUUCAUUAUUGGGGAAAAAAGACCAAGGGUAUUUAAGGAACAGAUAAGAUUCUUCAAUGAUGAGGAGACUAUAGCUUGCAUUUUCUCAACAGUUCUGACACAUUACAAACCCAGUUUUAAACUGGCUUGUGAUGUACCUCCAUAUGGCAUAAGAACUUUCAACUCCCAUAUGGAAAGGAAAGACUAGUUGCCGGGAAAAAUAGUAAAAGCCAAACAGAGUUAUGCCUAAGCCUACAAAGGAGGCACUCAGCCUAGUGCUAGACUGAUUCAGGAAAGUAUCCAUAUUAAAGGCAACAAGUAAGCAUGUUUAAUUCCCAAUGGGAAAGCAUUGAUCCCUAAUGGAAUUUAAGAAUCUGUUCUGAACAGGGAUGGUCUUAAGUACGUGCUUAAGUGUUUUCAUGAAUUUAUGCCACAUCAUACGAGUACCUACCGUAGCCUUGACAUUAUACAAAUAAUUUAUUCUAUUUACAAUAGACCACUUACCCCACUUCUUAGACCAGCCUUAAAUCAGUUACAUACUUUCAAUAUAGGGCAUUAUUUCUAUCUGUGCAUAAAUGUGGUAUUUUGCAGUGGUGGUUGUACUCAGUGGUGGUACAACUGGUAUUUUUUAUUUGUCACACAUAAAACAUUUAAUACAUUUGAAAAAUACCAUAAUUUCUGAAUUAAACUUGGAAAGACACUUUUUUUAGGUAUGACAGGCACUUCAUGAAAAUACCUAGGAACAUUUACCUCAUGGUGGAAUGAACUUUCCAGUCACAAAAGAUUCUUUCAUACCAGAUGAGGUACUUGGGUGAUAAUUAAACUGCAAUCACAAAUAUUUAAGAAAGGGAGUUUCUGAACAGCAAUAAUAACUAGGCUACAGAUAAAUUUGGCAUCCAGAGUUUGAAUUUCAGAUGUAAUCAACAGCAGAAGAGUGCACCAGUUGUCUACAAGAGCAUGGCAACAAAAACAUGUUUGUAACCCUGGUUUUAACCAACAAAAUCUUGGCAACAGCUACAUCUGGAAUUUGCUAAGACAUUUUUAGGUGAAAUGUUUUUAGUCCUAAGUGAUACUUGCUAAAAAUGUCCAGAAGUCCACAACACGUACUCUAACUACUAAUGGUCUAAGAGACUCAUUUGAUACAUAUGGAAUUCCAAGCAGCUAAUGUGUGAUAGUAGGCACCAAUUUACAUUACAAGAGUUCCAAUACAUUUCUCAGCUCAAACAAUGUAACAAAAAUUCACCAAGUGCCAUGUUAUCCAGCUGCUAACAACAUUGCUGAAUACUAAACAGAGACACUUAAAUAAAUACUUUGUUUCAAAGCAGCAUAUUUUUUCUUGUUGUCCUAUUGCAGUGUUAUACAACUGACAAACUAAACUCCUGUUGUGCUGAUGGUGAGUCAGAAACUUAAGUCUUGAUGUGGUGAAGCUAGAGAUAAAUCAGUGCAUGUUGAAUGAAAAAGCAACUCAGGUUAAAUUCAGAAAAAAAUCUGUUAGCAACAUUUUUAGGAAGGUGAUUUGUGCCCUUAUGAGGAAUUAUUCAAAGAUAAGAGAAAUUGCUGACUGGCAAAGUAGUGUCAAAUAGACUGAGCGCUCAUCAACACUGCUGCGGUAAAUUGAUCUAACUUACGCAACUUCAGUUAUGUGAAUAACGUAAAUGAAGUUGACGUAGUUAGAUCUGUUACUGCGGUGGCUACACUGCGUUGUGUCGAUGGGAGAGCUUCUCCCGUUGAUUUCUCUUAUGCUUCUCCCAUCGAUUUAGCAUGUCUUCACCAGAACCGCUAAAUCGACACUCACUGCAUCGAUUGCAGUGGUGCCAAUUUACCUGUAAAUGUAGACAUGCCCUGAGUAUCCUAUAUUGGCAAUGUUGAAUUUGGCACCUACACACCUGCUAGCUUAAGAGAUCAUCUCAAAGGUGUUUUAUCUGAAAUUACUCCAUUACCAAAGAUUCUUUAGGACCUUCAAGCCAUAGUAAUCACACUCAAAGAAUGUUGCAGGAGGUACUACAGAGAUUACAAUAAUAGUACCAGAAUUAACAUCUGACAUUUUCAAUAGAAGUUCAGAAGCCAUUGGAUAAAUUUUGUCAUUUGGGUAACUGAAAAUAUCUGAACAAAAUAGCUAAACUGAAAAAAGUUUCCUUUGUGUUGAAGGAGACUAUCCUCCAUGUUUAAGGAAGCUACUUAAAUGCUAGAAUUUAUGAACAUGUAGAAUCUCAUUUGUUAACAAAAAAUUUUUAAAUUUGUUACACAGAAAAUUUAAGACUUCAUUUACAAGAAAUAGGAACAUAUAUUUUCUAUUCUUAUCCUGAGACAAAUAUUUUAGGUGUGAGGAUCACUUAGAUAUUGCAUUAGCCCAAUAUUAACUUGCUUAGUCAUCAGUUCAUGGCAGGGUUACUUACACACUUAGCCUCUGUUUUAUGUAUACUAGUGAAAAGCAGUUCCUCUCCAUGAAAAACAAAUAAUUCUUAAGUGAUGCCAACUAAACUACAUUGUAUGUUUGCUUAUGACUAGAAUAAGUCCACACUAUUAAAAGCACAACAUAGUACCUCUAUACUUCUGUUACAGAUUCUUAUUCCUCAGAUUGUAUACAGCAAAGUGAUAUCUUUGAUUUUUAAGAACCUGACACUGAAUCCAAAUUCUGUAGAAGCAUAUUACUUUUAUUUUAGCUAGAAACAUCCCUGCCAGCAUUAGUCAUUUUGUUAGAACAGAACCACUAAUAAGUAACACUAGGAGCCACCAGUGUUCCAAGCACAGACAUGCAUGUACCACCUUCCCUGUUGGCUGUCAGCAGCCACACAUUUCAGAUGAGUUUGGGGAGACCUGCCAUUACCGUGCAGGCAACACAGACUUGCUUCUUUCUGUUAUGAUUGUGGGGGAAUAGGAAUUGCAGGUAAAUAGUUUUUUUUAAAAGCUGUCUGUCUUUGAAAAGCAGAGAAACAACGUUGCAGUUAGUGAGAGGCAUUGGCACAGUGUACAUAUUGCAUGCUUUUUCAUAUCCACAAAUCCUUUUAGAAAGUUUUUCUACUGUAAAUUUACCAUCAGAAAGUAGCUUGAGAACUUAGUCCUUUUCUCUCUCUCUCUCUCUUUUUUGAGUGACUGCAUACUAUGGUAAAUAGUGCCCAAAUAGUUUAGAUAAAAUAACAGUAAAUAUUUGUUUUAUUGCUAUUGUGUUGGUCCCAGGAUAUUAGAGACACAAUGUGAGUGAGGUAAUAUCUUUUAUUGGACCUACUUCUGUUGUUGAGAGAUACAAACUUUCAAGCUUACAUAGAGCUUUAGAAGAUGCUAUUAUGGAUGUUUGUCCAUUAAAAAAAAACAACAACAAUCAUGACAAUAUUGCACGCUCAUGGGAGCCUCUCAAAUAACUCCAGAUACUUGAGCAGUGAGGAAAGCUACAGAUUAGAAUUAAGGUCCAUUACUAGAGCUUUGUGGCAAACAUUUAAAGAGCACUUGUUACAUUAUCUUAUUCCUACCAGCAUCGUCGGUGCUGCACAUUUAAUAGUUCUAAAUAUACCCCAAAAUUAAAAGGAUAAAACUCUGCAGGCUCACAAUCUACUUUCAAAUCAGUAUGUGCCUCCCUACUUAGACUAAAAUUAAGGGACCUCUGACAGAAUCAUAGUGGCAUCUAGGUUUCUGGUAAAGAUGUUCUCUUUUUCUUUAAAGGUUUUUUUAGUCUAGUGCAUUGAGCAUGGGCCAGGAAGUCAAAACUAGAUUCUGUUCCUGACUCUGCCAACAACUCAUUAUGGAACUUUGGGCAAAUCACCUAACCUCCUGUUCUCCUAUCUGUAAAAUGAGGAUGCAUACCCCCCAAAGUAUUUUGA